UGGGGAAUUUUGGACAAUGGGGGCAACCCUGAUCCAGCCAUUCCGCGUGAGUGAAGAAGGCCUUCGGGUUGUAAAGCUCUUUUGUCGGGGACGAAACGGUUUUGGCUAAUAACCAGGACUACUGACGGUACCCGAAGAAUAAGCACCGGCUAACUACGUGCCAGCAGCCGCGGUAAUACGUAGGGUGCGAGCGUUAAUCGGAAUUACUGGGCGUAAAGCGUGCGCAGGCGGUUGUAUAAGCCAGAUGUGAAAUCCCCGGGCUCAACCUGGGAAUGGCAUUUGGGACUGUACGGCUGGAGUGUGGCAGAGGAGACUGGAAUUCCUGGUGUAGCAGUGAAAUGCGUAGAUAUCAGGAGGAAUACCGAUGGCGAAGGCAGGUCUCUGGGCUGACACUGACGCUCAUGCACGAAAGCGUGGGGAGCAAACAGG
rnacentral:rRNA from 1 species